UACGUAGGCAGCAAGCGUUGUUCGGAGUUACUGGGCGUAAAGGGUGUGUAGGCGGUUCUUUUAAGUUUGGUGUGAAAUCUCCCGGCUCAACUGGGAGGGUGCGCCGAAUACUGAGGGACUAGAGUACGGGAGAGGAAAGUGGAAUUCCUGGUGUAGCGGUGAAAUGCGUAGAUAUCAGGAGGAACACCGGUGGUGUAGACGGCUUUCUGGACCGACACUGACGCUGAAACACGAAAGCGUGGGGAGCAAACAGG
rnacentral:rRNA from 1 species